UCCGGUUUGUCACCGGCAGUCUGGCGUGAGUCCCCAACUUAAUGCUGGCAACACGCCACGGGGGUUGCGCUCGUUGCGGGACUUAACCCAACAUCUCACGACACGAGCUGACGACAGCCAUGCAGCAUCUGUGUUACGGCUCUCUUUCGAGCACCCCCUGAUCUCUCAAAGGUUCCGUACAUGUCAAGGGUAGGUAAGGUUUUUCGCGUUGCAUCGAAUUAAUCCACAUCAUCCACCGCUUGUGCGGGUCCCCGUCAAUUCCUUUGAGUUUUAGCCUUGCGGCCGUACUCCCCAGGCGGAGUGUUUCACGCGUUAGCUGGGCCCCUGAUCCACGUAGACCAAGGGCGAACACUCAUCGGUUACGGCAUGGACUAC
rnacentral:misc_RNA from 1 species